UACGUAGGUCCCGAGCGUUGUCCGGAUUUAUUGGGCGUAAAGGGAGCGUAGGCGGACUUUUAAGUGAGAUGUGAAAUACUCGGGCUCAACUUGAGUGCUGCAUUUCAAACUGGAGGUCUAGAGUGCAGGAGAGGAGAAUGGAAUUCCUAGUGUAGCGGUGAAAUGCGUAGAGAUUAGGAAGAACACCAGUGGCGAAGGCGAUUCUCUGGACUGUAACUGACGCUGAGGCUCGAAAGCGUGGGGAGCAAACAGG
rnacentral:rRNA from 1 species